CCUACGGGAGGCAGCAGUGAGGAAUAUUGGUCAAUGGACGAGAGUCUGAACCAGCCAAGUAGCGUGAAGGAUGACUGCCCUAUGGGUUGUAAACUUCUUUUAUAUGGGAAUAAAAUGUUCCACGUGUGGGAUUUUGUAUGUACCAUAUGAAUAAGGAUCGGCUAACUCCGUGCCAGCAGCCGCGGUAAUACGGAGGAUCCGAGCGUUAUCCGGAUUUAUUGGGUUUAAAGGGAGCGUAGGUGGAUUGUUAAGUCAGUUGUGAAAGUUUGCGGCUCAACCGUAAAAUUGCAGUUGAAACUGGCAGUCUUGAGUACAAUAGAGGUGGGCGGAAUUCGUGGUGUAGCGGUGAAAUGCUUAGAUAUCACGAAGAACUCCGAUUGCGAAGGCAGUUCACUGGACUGCAACUGACACUGAGGCUCGAAAGUGUGGGUAUCAAACAGGAUUAGAUACCCCAGUAGUC
rnacentral:rRNA from 1 species